UACGUAGGGGGCAAGCGUUAUCCGGAAUCAUUGGGCGUAAAGCGCGUGUAGGCGGUUCCGUAAGUCCGCUCUGAAGGCCCAGGGCUCAACCCUGGGAGGCGGGUGGAUACUACGGAACUGGAGUACGGAAGAGGAGAUUGGAAUUCCUGGUGUAGCGGUGAAAUGCGCAGAUAUCAGGAGGAACACCAACAGCGAAGGCAGAUCUCUGGGACGUUACUGACGCUGAGACGCGAAAGCGUGGGGAGCAAACAGG
rnacentral:rRNA from 1 species